rnacentral:rRNA from 1 species
CGAGAUGAGUAUUCUAAGGCGCUUGAGAGAACUCGGGAGAAGGAACUCGGCAAAUUGGUACCGUAACUUCGGGAAAAGGUACGCCCCAGUAGCUUGGCUGAUUUACUUCAGUAGGGCGAAAGGGUUGCAAUAAACUGGUGGCUGCGACUGUUUAAUAAAAACACAGCACUCUGCAAACACGAAAGUGGACGUAUAGGGUGUGACGCCUGCCCGGUGCUGGAAGAUUAAAUGAUGGGGUGCAAGCUCUUGAUUGAAGUCCCAGUAAACGGCGGCCGUAACUAUAACGGUCCUAAGGUAGCGAAAUUCCUUGUCGGGUAAGUUCCGACCUGCACGAAUGGCGUAACGAUGGCCACACUGUCUCCUCCCGAGACUCAGCGAAGUUGAAGUGUUUGUGAUGAUGCAAUCUACCCGCGGCUAGACGGAAAGACCCCAUGAACCUUUACUGUAGCUUUGCAUUGGACUUUGAACCAAUCUGUGUAGGAUAGGUGGGAGGCUUUGAAGCGGGGACGCCAGUUCUCGUGGAGCCAACCUUGAAAUACCACCCUGGUUCGUUUGAGGUUCUAACCUUGGUCCGUUAUCCGGAUCGGGGACAGUGCAUGGUAGGCAGUUUGACUGGGGCGGUCUCCUCCUAAAGUGUAACGGAGGAGUUCGAAGGUACGCUAGGUACGGUCGGACAUCGUGCUAAUAGUGCAAUGGCAUAAGCGUGCUUAACUGCGAGACUGACAAGUCGAGCAGGUACGAAAGUAGGACAUAGUGAUCCGGUGGUUCUGUAUGGAAGGGCCAUCGCUCAACGGAUAAAAGGUACUCUGGGGAUAACAGGCUGAUUCCUCCCAAGAGUUCAUAUCGACGGGGGAGUUUGGCACCUCGAUGUCGGCUCAUCACAUCCUGGGGCUGUAGCCGGUCCCAAGGGUAUGGCUGUUCGCCAUUUAAAGUGGUACGUGAGCUGGGUUUAAAACGUCGUGAGACAGUUUGGUCCCUAUCUGCCGUGGGCGUUGGAAAUUUGAAGGGGGCUGCUCCUAGUACGAGAGGACCGGAGUGGACGAACCUCUGGUGUACCGGUUGUCACGCCAGUGGCAUUGCCGGGUAGCUAAGUUCGGAAGAGAUAACCGCUGAAAGCAUCUAAGCGGGAAACUUGCCUUGAGAUGAGAUUUCCCGGAGCUUUAAGCUCCUUGAAGGGUCGUUCGAGACCAGGAC